rnacentral:rRNA from 1 species
GGAUGCGAUCAUACCAGCACUAAAGCACCGGAUCCCAUCAGAACUCCGAAGCUAAGCGUGCUUGGGCGAGAGUAGUACUAGGAUGGGCGACCUCUUGGGAAGUCCUCGUGUUGCAUUCC